rnacentral:rRNA from 1 species
AGUGAACGCUGGCGGUAGGCCUAACACAUGCAAGUCGAACGGCAGCACAGUAAGAGCUUGCUCUUACGGGUGGCGAGUGGCGGACGGGUGAGGAAUACAUCGGAAUCUACUUUUUCGUGGGGGAUAACGUAGGGAAACUUACGCUAAUACCGCAUACGACCUACGGGUGAAAGCAGGGGAUCUUCGGACCUUGCGCGAUUGAAUGAGCCGAUGUCGGAUUAGCUAGUUGGCGGGGUAAAGGCCCACCAAGGCGACGAUCCGUAGCUGGUCUGAGAGGAUGAUCAGCCACACUGGAACUGAGACACGGUCCAGACUCCUACGGGAGGCAGCAGUGGGGAAUAUUGGACAAUGGGCGCAAGCCUGAUCCAGCCAUACCGCGUGGGUGAAGAAGGCCUUCGGGUUGUAAAGCCCUUUUGUUGGGAAAAAAAAGCAGCAGGUUAAUACCCCGCUGUUCUGACGGUACCCAAAGAAUAGGCACCGGCUAACUUCGUG